AAAAAAGAAAGAGGAGGGUGCAAAAUCAAACCAAAUCAAAAGAAACCAAAAGCAAAUCAAAAGAAAGAAAAAGAAAGAAAGAAACAAAAAAAAAUAGCACCCUCAAAGUCCCAAGUUGACUGAUGCUGAAUUCAAGCAAAAACAAAAGAUCAACUGCCAUGUUUUAUGGUCAGAAAGCAUUUGACAAGAAGGUCAAGCCUCGUGUGUUCCGAGGGACCUCGUGCUCAGGAAAGUCUUGUCUUUCACACCCGAUUCCAGGGGCAAGUGGAC
rnacentral:lncRNA from 1 species